UUCUUAUUAAUAGAAGUAUAUAUUUAAUUAAUACAUUUAAAAUUAAUUUUAACAUUUUUUCAGUGUAGAUAAUUGACACAUUAGGGAGUGUAAUUAACACUACCAAAAUAGUUUAAAAAAUUAACUCGGAGCAGUGUUAGUUGUCUAAUCCCUCAGUGUUAUUUUAACACUGUUUUGUGAGUUAAUAAAGGAACUCUGGUAGAGUGUUAAAUGUUUAACUAUUUUGAAAGUGUUAAUUUAACUCUGGAGAGUGUGGAGCUAUAUAAACUCUCAAAAAGUGUUGAAAUCAACUCUGUGGGAGUUAAUUCAACACUGGACUUUUUGCUGUGCUCCCUUCGCUUUGAAAAUCUACACUCAUACUCCACGUUGACAAAUUCGGUGCUCUCCGCAAGUAUUUGCGUUAAAGUUCAUAUUGUUUGACCUACCCAUAUGGAUCCUUUAAACAAAGGAUGAUAGGAAGUGGCACUGUUUUGUGUCCUUUUGAACGCCGCUGUAGAGGGCAGCUCUGAGAAGCUUCACCUCGGACUGAUAAAAGCGAUGAGUUAUCGCCUUGUUUAUCCUGCUGUUGAAACUUGGAGUGCAUUAUCAAAGGAGAAGCCAAUGGAAGAGUAUUAGAGAGCAUAUUUUUAAAAUCUUGUAAAUCUCGUGAAUUUAUGUCAUCGUGACUCGGGGACCUCACCUUGCCCUUCUGGUUUCUAUUGGCAUUGACCCCCCCCAAGUCACGCAGUCUGUAACUGUGAAGUGGUGUCGCUUCCUCUCUCUCUUUUUUUCUUUCUCCAGCCAGGAUUUAGCAUGCUGACCCCCUGGCUCUCCGAGAGGUGCUCAUGGUCUUCUCAGGCUCUGGGGAGGUGGCCAGAGCAUUAGGCCGGGACCCACUCAUCUGCAGCAGUCCCUUUCUAAUCAAAUAAGGCUGUGAGGGAUUGGCUUUAAAUGCUGGUGGCCCGGAUGUGAUGGCGUGUGUGAGAUUGACAGGCCGUGAUGAGCAGGACGUCGGCAGGGUGAAAAUACCAUUAAUGUUUCCCAGCUGCUGGAUUACCACAAGUUGUCUAACCGCUUUCCAUGAGAUCAGUGGGACUCAGCGCUGCAGUUUUUUCUCAAAAAGCCGGAAGAGUGAGGGAGUACACCGUCUUCAGAAUGGAUAGACACAGUGUGAAUUUGUGUGAAUUUUUUCUAAUUUGGAGUCUGCACAUGAGCCAAAGUUUUCUUUGGAUGUUCAAUUGUAAAGAUUGUGAAGCUUUAUCUUGUGUUGGUUUAUCCGUUUUCAUUUCUUUGAAAUCAGUUUGAUGUUUGUGAUUAUUUGCACAAAAUAUGUUGUUUGUCCAUUGCAUUCAGAAAACAAACUAUUCCAUUUAAUGUUUAUACAGGCCUUAUGUUAGUUUAAGAUGGAAAAAAGAUCCAUUUCAUAGCAGUCACCAUCUAGAACUAAAACACUUACUUAUACUGUAAUUUAUUAUUUGCCACGGGUCUCAUAAAAACUGUUGUUGUUUAAUAUAUUGCCUUUGGCUACUUCUGAAUGGCCAGAAUGUUAUUUCUUAGAAUACCAGCCUUGAUGGUCAGCUGAGGAUUAUAUUUUCAAGUUCACAUCUUUUUCUUUUCUUUAUCUCUAUUAGGAGGCAGAUGUAAAUAUUAAUAUAAUUUAUUGAGUUAUUUACCUUCAUGUUAAAUAUAGUAAAUAUGCCUGUCCAUUGUUGUAA